GGGGAAUCUUCUGGAAUGUUUGAGGAGCUCUGGUUAUCGAGGAUACAGUGAACAGAAUUCAGCUUUCUGAGCACCAGCAGGGGCUGCUUAACCUGCUCACCGUAUAUUCAAAAGGGGAUAGUGGCAUGAACGAUGCAAACACAUGUUGGAAGGAGGCAGGAUUGCAUGGUCAGAUGAUAGGAUAGCACGUCGUACAAGAUGGGGACAUGGAAGCCCUGUCUAUUUACACAUCAAGGCUGAUUUGUGAACCUAUUCAGGGUUUCUUUGUGAGGGCUACAGGAGAACUCUCGCUGCUUGUGCAGGGCUGACAAGGAAUUCCGAGACAGGCAAGGUUACCAGAUUUUCCUCAGCCUUGCAUUGCUCACUGUCUUGCUGCUGUUGAGAAAUAAAUAGUGUAAGGCACCUCAUGCAUUGAAACAAAAAUGACAUUAUGCCACUGAUGAUGUUUUCAGGCUGCAGUUCAUGAAUUCAGAAAGUGCCUCCCCACCUUACCUGGGAACCUCGUCCAGGCCUGAAACUUUUACACUUGUUUCAAUGCUGUAGCUUGGAGGUGGAAACUGCAUAUUUUGGAUUUAACACCUUGACCAAUACUGCUUGAGUUAAAAUAAGGUCUUCCUCUCUGCCUGAAUUCUCAUAACGCAAAUGAGACUGUCACUCAGCUGUGUGAUGUUCUCAGAGUUAUAUACUUAUCUUGGGAGCAAACAUUUGGAUGAUGCAUUGUUGCUUUUGUUCUUGCUCUUCUUAAAAAAAUCUUCCUAAACUGAAGUAUGAGGAGGUAGUAAUACAGUUUGGAUAAUUCCCAAAGCUUUCGUUAUGCUUUCAAUUUGUGACUUGUGUCUGUUUGAAAAGCCUAGGGGUCCACUUGGACUCCUAAACCUAUCACUGUCAACUGUAUGAACUAACUCAGCAAAGGUUAACCCAUCACACAUCAGUCCUUAUCACUUCCUUUUAUGGUUGAGAGGCAACAUGCUAGAUUUUGCUAUUUGUAAACUGUUGUUCUAUCUCUUCUGUUGCUUA